rnacentral:rRNA from 1 species
GACGAACGCUGGCGGCGUGCUUAACACAUGCAAGUCGAACGGUGAAGCGCCUUCCUUUUUGGUGGGUGUGGAUGAGUGGCGAACGGGUGAGUAACACGUGAGUAACCUGCCCCCUUCUUCUGGAUAACCGCAUGAAAGUGUGGCUAAUACGGGAUAUUCUGGGUCUGUCGCAUGAUGGGUCUGGGAAAGAUAUUGUUUCGGUGGGGGAUGGGCUCGCGGCCUAUCAGCUUGUUGGUGGGGUGAUGGCCUACCAAGGCGGUGACGGGUAGCCGGCCUGAGAGGGUGGACGGUCACACUGGGACUGAGACACGGCCCAGACUCAUACGGGAGGCAGCAGUGGGGAAUAGUGCACAAUGGGCGAAAGCCUGAUGCAGCGACGCCGCGUGAGGGAUGGAGGCCUUCGGGUUGUGAACCUCUUUCGCCAGUGAAGCAGGCCUGCCUCGUUUGUGGGUGGGUUGACGGUAGCUGGAUAAGAAGCGCCGGCUAACUACGUG